UAAUUAUAAUAUUAAAAGUAGGCAGCCCAGGCCCAAUUCUAAUAGAGAAGCCCAACCACAACUAGUGUCAUUUAACCCAACGUCUAUUUCUCUCUGCUCAUUUGCUAUUAGCUUAGGGCAACAACAAAAAACUCACUAAUUCUCAUUUUCUCUCUCCUCUGUAUUUCCCUCUCCUUUCUUCCAUUGAUAAUCAAGCAUUGACUCAUGGUGGACGCCAUGGAACAUCUCAGAGGUCACAUUUACCUUGUUCGAAUCCCUGAACCAACCAAUCGCAUCUUCAAAAGAAGAGUGUUGCGUUUCUUUUCAUACUCAAAAAAUAAUGUUGUUGAUCGAUUCUCCAGUGAUUGCAUUCGUCGAGUCAGACUCGUUGACUCAGAACUCGUCCUCAAGAAAACUCAAUGCGAAGCUGUCGGAGUUCGUUCCAAAGAAAGUUUUAUGAUUCUCCAUAACCUGAGCAUGAAACAGAGUUAAAGAAUGCUAGAUUAUUGUAGCUUCUUGAAUUAUUAUAGUGGUCACAUAAUGAUUUAUAUUGGUGACACAAUGGUUAUUGUUGGUCACUUAUUAUUUUUUAAACAUUUAGGAAUCCACACAUGUAAUUGGAGUGACAUUUUGUUAGUGAUUAUGGUAAUAAAUACAGUUGGUUCUUUCCA